AGUGUCACUGACGUUUUUCCUCAAGCAAGUCUGGACUUUCCUGGUGGCACAUCUAUGGUUUUAAGACUACAUGACUACCUUAUACAACAGAAUUCUAUUGGUGGUGCAUCUGUGUGGUUUGGCUUUCAGAAAUCAUCGGGUAACAAUUCUAGGAGGAGCGUUCUUCCUUAGCUUGUCCCGGGAACACCUGUAUCCAAUAGAGAGCAUCAGGGUAGUCUAAUUUGAAGCACAAAUCAUAGGAGUCAUUUGUAGCGGUUUAAACAGCUGCUAAAUGCAGUUAAUUUCUCCAGGACAUUGGCGGCGGUUGCAACUGAUGUAGGGUUUUAGUUGUCCAUUUUCGGCGUUUUCAACCGCCGCUAAUAUUGACUUUCUCCGCCACGAAAUGUCCAGUUUUGUAGUUGGAAUUAUUAUCAGUGAAAAGACGUAAAUCCAAUGCUAUUAAUUCUUCGUCCAAAAAAAAAGAUAUGAAUUCUCUCCAAGGAAUCUGGAAAGUGUUAUGGAUAAAAUAUGUAAAAUGAAAUCCUCUGAGAAUCCUUAUU